ACGACCUUACUUGAACAGGAUCUGUUCUAUAGGCUCGUACCGCUGCAUCCUUUACCAAUAAGGAGGCAAGCACUCAAGUCUGGUUGAUGCAUUCUGACCUCUAGGCCUGAGCGUGAUUAAUGGCUAGGAUUCACCUGAUUGUAUCCAACGGCUGUAGAGGAUCGUUCCUGCUUGGCACAUGCCUCUGCAGGGUGUGGCCUAGAGUAGAGG
rfam:Triticum aestivum genome assembly, contig: Triticum_aestivum_CS42_TGACv1_scaffold_222092_3B